rnacentral:lncRNA from 13 species
CAUACACUGUCCAGAAGCCUAAUAAAAGAGCUUCAUGGGAAGAAGAAGAGAAGAAAAGCAGCAGAGAAAGCACUUGGCAAGAGGGCUCAGUCACAGCAGAUUUUAGAAGCACUACCAAAUGUACCUUUCGAAAGAUGAGAGGAACAAACAAAGAGAAAGGAUUGACUGUAAGGAGAAAAGUGACCUCUUGGUGAAUGAGAGACAAAUUACACAAAGGCUACUCCUACAAAAAGGAAGAUCACU